rnacentral:rRNA from 1 species
UACCGAGGUCCCAAGCGUUGUUCGGAUUCACUGGGCGUAAAGGGUGCGUAGGUGGCCAGGUAAGUUUGGUGUGAAAGCUCGGAGCUUAACUCCGAAAAGUCAUUGAAUACUAUCUGGCUGGAGGGUCGGAGGGGAGACUGGAAUUCUCGGUGUAGCAGUGAAAUGCGUAGAUAUCGAGAGGAACACCAGUGGCGAAGGCGAGUCUCUGGACGACUCCUGACACUGAGGCACGAAAGCUAGGGGAGCAAACAGG